rnacentral:rRNA from 1 species
UACGAAGGGGGCUAGCGUUGCUCGGAUUUACUGGGCGUAAAGGGCGCGUAGGGCGGAUGUUUUAAAGUCGGGGGUGAAAGCCCGGGCUCAACCUCGGUAAUUGCCUUCGAUACUGGACAUCUUGAGUACGGGAGAGGUGAGUGGAACUCCGAGUGUAGAGGUGAAAUUCGUAGAUAAUUCGGAAGAACACCAGUGGCGAAGGCGACUCACUGGCCCGUUACUGACGCUGAGGCGCGAAAGCGUGGGGGAGCAAACAGG